rnacentral:rRNA from 1 species
GACAGAGGCCCCAAGCGUUAGGCGGAAUCACUGGGCUUAAAGCGUGUGUAGGCGGACGCCUAAGUGUCUUGUGAAAUCCCACGGCUCACCCGUGGAACUGCUGGGCAUACUGGGCGUCUUGGGCCAACUAGGGGCAGCCGGAACAAGCGGUGGAGCGGUGAAAUGCGUAGAUAUCGCUUGGAACGCCGAAGGUGAAAACAGGCUGCUGGGGUUGCGCCGACGCUGAGGCACGAAAGCCAGGGGAGCAAACGGG